UACGUAGGGCGCAAGCGUUGUCCGGAAUUAUUGGGCGUAAAGAGCUUGUAGGCGGCUUGUCACGUCGGGUGUGAAAGCCCGGGGCUUAACCCCCGGUUCUGCAUUCGAUACGGGCUGGCUAGAGUGUGGUAGGGGAGAUCGAAUUCCUGGUGUAGCGGUGAAAUGCGCAGAUAUCAGGAGGAACACCGGUGGCGAAGGCGGAUCUCUGGGCCAUUACUGACGCUGAGGAGCGAAAGCGUGGGGAGCGAACAGG
rnacentral:rRNA from 1 species